rnacentral:lncRNA from 1 species
CCUGGAGGCUGACUGUCCCAGAGCCCGCCACCCUAGCAGGGCUUGAUGGGUCUCUAGGAGAGGCAUGGUGUGCUCAUGUCCUCUGUUCCCCACCCAGGCCUCUCGGCACCUGUGAACGGCGAGUCUGCAUCCCAAAAGGAGGACAGCACAGAGGACAGGGAGCAGGACGAUGCACAGGACUCAGAGGAGGGUGUGCGGGGUGGCUCCUCAGAAGACCUGCACGACAGCCCACGGGAGGGCUCCAACCCCGCCAGGCCUGGGAAUGAGCGGCAAGAGCGUGACAGGGUGCGGCUGGCCUCCGAGUCCCCAGAGGAGGACAGCUAAGCCCACGGGCGGGCUGUCCCACCAAGCACACCCCCCGGAGCCUGCUGUUUGCGUUCGUGGCCUCGGGGUUUUUCCGCCUAGUUUCUGUGAUUUAUGAUUGACACAAAAUGGCUAUAAAGGGUUUUGUAAUGAAAAAAAUAGCUUUUAUUGGUGUGGUGUCCUGAGGGCAGGUGCGGCUGGGUGGGGCCUGAGGGGAUAUAGUGCCAAGCCAGGACCACGAUGGGCCUUGUAGGGGUGGAAGUGGCCUCUGGACUUGGCUCCCAUCGUGAAUGAGAUAUGUUGGUCAGCGUGGACAUAGGCCACCCGCAGGCCACUACUCCUGGCCCUGUGACCCAGGCUGUGGGCAGCACUGGGACCCUGGGUAGGACACAGCAUCUGUGGGCCUGAGGCCCACAGCCAUCCUGUCCUGUCAGUCUGUUGCUGUGUGGCCCAAGCAACUGGUUCCUGCCUUGGACCUCUGUUCAUCUGAAAGGGUCUAGGGACAAGGACGGAUGUGGCCACCAAGAAC